GGAUACAUCCGUACCUAUGUCUUCGUGAGAUUUUCAUCUCCGCAUGGCCAUAGAGAAAUGUAUCCCCCUGAACCGAACUCGGUCCGCAUGAGCCUACAAUGGGUGAGGAUCGAGGAAUCUGCUGGUUCAGGUACCCUUACUUUAGAACCAAACCUCAUGUAGUGAACCUUAGGAGCUCACCCUAGGUAGAACCACUUCGAACCCCUAGUAUUCACCCAAAUAGGUGUUCUAUUUAUUCUUGCUUGCUUUUGCUUUGUACUAACAUGUUUUCUUUUUGUCAUGAUUGCAUUGCAUUUUCAUCAUAAAAAGAGGUGUUGAUUCACGUUCAAUUGCUAAAUAGAGAGCUUGUCAUAAGAAAAUGGGUUUCUUGAUAAAGUGGAUGACGAUACGGUUGUCCUAAUACGGUCCGAG
rnacentral:lncRNA from 1 species